AACGAACGCUGGCGGCAGGCCUAACACAUGCAAGUCGAACGCAUGCCUGCGGGCAUUUCUUGCAGACUGGUGCCUAACGCCUGGGAACCCACCCCUUGGUACGCGAUAGCUCCGGGAAACAGAACAUAAUACCGCAUGUGUCAUGAGGGUAAAACAUUGUUCGCCACGGGAUGGGCCCGCGUAGGACUAGCUGGCUGUUGGGGAUACGGCAUACCAAGGCGAGUAACCGUAGCUGGUCUAUGAGGGUGUUCAGACACAUUGGUACUGAGACACAGCCCAAACUCCUACGGGAGGCAGCAGUGGGGAAUAGUGGACAAUGGGCGCAAGCCUGAUCGUGCCAUGCCGCGUGAGUGAUGAAGGCCCUAGAGUUGUAAAGCUCUUUCAACGGUGACGAUCAUGACGGUAACCGGAGAAGAAGCCCCGGCUAACUUCGUG
rnacentral:rRNA from 1 species